CGAGGAAGAAGACGAAUUUAUUUUUUUAUGUAAUUAUGUAUAAUAUUUUAUAAUAGUUUAUAUAAACACAUCUUAUACACUAUUAUAUACUUUUAUACACCUUUAUACUAACGUCUAUAGACGAACUUAUUCCACGAUUUUCAGUUACAAUUCUUAUUCAAAACCAAUCGCAAUCUCCAUUAAAUGACUUCAAAUUUCAUAUACAACCUACUUACACUAUUUCUAACAAGUCUAAAUAAUGUCAACUCCAGAUUUUCACGAAAUCAAAUUCGAAAUUUAAACCUACAUAUUUAAACUUGUUAAAAAGCUAAUUUUCACCAUCCAAAUGGACUUGGUUUAUUGAACUAAUAUUUGAGUCAUAGUUACUGUCACACCUGAUCUUUACUUGCGCUCGCAGAGGCGUAGGGGAGUUAUUCCAAUUAAAGGACAAUCGAAACGAGAUUUGUUUAUUUAAUUCAGAGUCGCCACUUGGGAGAUUUAUGGUGUCCCACGUCACCGAUUUUAAUCCCGAAUCGAAGAAAAGAAUGACUAUGUUUAACAGUCUGCGAAUCAGAAAUCCGGAUAAGGAAUUCUCUUAAUCCGGGAGAAGGUGUUUGGCAUUCCCGAGUUCCGUGGUUCUAGCACGGUCACUCAACUGUCAUAUUUGGCUUAAUUAUCUGAUUUUAAGUUAGGCAUUCCCGAGUUCCGUGGUUCUAGCACGGUCACUCAACUGUCAUAUUCGGCUUAAUUAUCUGAUUUUAUUUAAUUGUGAACUUAUGUACAAAUUUUCACUUUUAACCGUUUUUAUUAUUAUUAUUGUUGUUAUUUUUACAAAGAAUUGUAACGUUGUGAAAACGCAUCUCGAACCACGUCACAACUAGUGUACACGUGAUUUGUCGACGUACUUUGACUUCGUUGGGAUUUGGGUUUUGGUCACAUAAAUGUACACCCGUGUUUAGGGAGGAAAUAUUAUUAAAAUACGCACCUAAAGAGUCUAGCGCGUUAUUAUUUUUUUGGAAGACCGUGCAAUUCGCUAAAAGGCUCAUCCCGAGGUCUAGGUAUUUAUUACCAUCCAUUGAGCGCCCCGCUGCCUGUACGUUUUAUUUGGCGAGGCAAGGCAAGGCUCGUUUAUUUUUUAAAAGGAUAUCCUAAAGCGACUAUGUUUUCUAUUUUUGUUUGUCUCUAAAGCGAGGCAAGGCAAGGCUCGUUUAGUUUUUAAAAGGAUAUCCUAAAGCGACUAUGUUUUCUAUUUUUGUUUGUCUCUAAAAUAAAAGAAGAAAAAUACAUAAUUUAUUUACAUGCUUGAGAGUUAUGAUAACUAAGUUUCAGACAUGAUUCGUUAAAUCAGAAAUGAACGUAAUAAAUAUUCCGUUUGACAGUUGCGGGCCCAGGCCCAACGUGUACGGCGUAAUCUGGACCUGGGCCGUCCUUACUCUGAUUGAGGCCUAAUUAAUUUAUUCUACAUAUUACUACCUAGUUACAUUAUACUAUACAUGCUCACAUCUUGUCAAAUUAAAAAGGUGAACUUGUAUUAUUUUUUGUUAACAGAUUUUCUGCAAAUUU
rnacentral:lncRNA from 1 species